GGUGCUUGUCGAGAGCUGGAGUCAUGGGAACGGGAGGCUCCUGGGCGGAGGCUCCGGGAGGAAGAAGCAGGGUCUGUGGGGCGAAGAGGCCGAGCGCACGCUUCCGCGAUGUGGCAGCUCCGCAGACUCCUGUCAUCAGUUGGAGGUGCAUUUGCAAGGAUCUGUGCUCGAACACCUGAGAUGAACGGAAAAAACAUGGGUGUUGGCAUGAAGCUGAGCCAAACUGAAGUCCUGGUCCUGUGGUGCCAAAGCUAUGUGUCCGCACACCAGUCUGCCCUUCUCCGCUCCGAGCCUCCCGGGAAACAGGGCCUCCCAGGGUGACGGAGGUGGCCUCCCGAAAUGAUCUCGGUGCCCAGAAUCGCUCCGUUUUUGCGCAGGGCCCUGUAAGCCCCGCGCUCCUCUGCGGUCAGGCAGCCGGGCGGCUCCCGUGUUGAGAAAGGACUCCUUCCUGCCCUGCUGUCCCCGCUUCCCGUGCCGCUCCCGUGCGAGCGCUCCCUGAC